CUUGCAGGGUGCCCCGGAUUAUGGCAAGGUUAUUAAUCUUGAUGUGCUGCAUCCCCCACCCCCAACCUUCGGCAGCCUGCAUUGAGAUGAUUGCCAGAGCCGUGUCUGUCCCUGUUCUACUGCAUUUUGCUCAGCCCUCUGAUGCUGCCAUUGAGACACCGCGGAGGCAAGAAUACUAAUAAGCUCUGCCCUGGUGGGCCACCAAGUAGAACAGCUGGACUCCGUCAAGCUUCCUGGUGCUGAGAGACAUGUUUCAAAACUUAAUUUUACAAACUGGUUUUGAUUUUGUUCUUGUCAGCACUUAGCUGUGUGACACUUGGCCAUUCCUUAGCCAUUAACAUGUACAUCCACGUUUUUAUUUGUCUAUGUGCUUGCUCUCAGACUCAUGGAGAAAAAAAAUCACUUUCUGGAUUAAUUCUGAACUUAAGCAGAAUAUGGACUUAGAAAAUCUCAUUGCAACUCACUGCUUCUGUGUCAAGACUUGCUCUGAAGCCAAUACUAUCACCAAACACUAAACCAUGGUGUUCAUAAAUGCCCUAUGCACUGAAUAUCUACGUCUCCUUAAUUCCCAUAUUGAAACCCACAGUCCCAGUGUGGGAUGAUGUUUGGAGGUGGAGUGAUGGGAUUCAGGACAAACGACUGCAAAUGACUGAGGCAUUUGAGAAAGCAACAGAAUCAGGAAAGUCAUUCUCAACGUCCUCUCGCCCCUUCUCUGAAGCCAGCCGUAAAACCUAAUGACUGUCCCCUGAAGUUAGUCAUGAAGCCUUCAUUCCAGGGUCCCCUGCCUACAACUGGAGGAGAGGAAACAUCUUGUCCUUAAAGACACAGAUGCACCAGGAAGUGUUUGGGCCACGGGACUAGCUAAAUUCCCCCUAGUUGAUCACCAUUAGAAUAUUCUACACUCUGGCCAAUUACACAACUGUCUAGUUUUAUCAAAUCUAAGCAUAAAAUACAUAGAAUUCCCUGCUUGGCUUCCUUAGUAAGGGCUCCUAGGUCACAUAAAAGUCAGAAUAAAUCAGUUUGAAUGCUUCUCUCUUAUUAAUUUGUCAUUUUUUAUAGGGGCUUCAGCUGUAAACUUUGUGACAGGUGAAGAAACAAUAUUAAUCGAUCUUUCCCACAGGGGUCUUUGGGAGGUUAUUAAAUCAUAAGAGUGGAAAACUCAUAGAAUUAGUGCUCUUAUAAGAAGAAACAUUUCUUUCUCUCCUCCCUCCUCCCUCAUCCCUCCUUUCUCUCUCUGCGUCUCUCUGUCUCUCUCCCUCCCUCCCUCCUUCGCGCCUUUUUGAGAAUACAACAAGGAGUUUAUCUUAAACUACAGUGAAGACCCUCAACAAAUUGACAAGUAGCACCUUAAAUUUGAACUUCUAUAUUCUAAAAAUAUAUUUUUGUUGUUUAAACCAGCCAUUUUAAAAGCAUCUUUAUAGCAUAGCCCAAGUUGACUAAGACACACCGUGAAAAAAAUACCCCAAGAAAUAAGCAUAGUUCCUAAAUUAGCAAUUCCAUGAUAAACCACAUCAGCUUAGCGCUGAAACUCAGAUUAUCACUUGAAAUGACCGGAUAUGAAGUUUCUUGAUUAUUGAUUAUUGAACAAUUAAUAUCUAUCCUAUAAAUCAUUUGCAAAGGCAAAGGAACACAAGAAAGUAGCCAUGGAUCUCAGUUACAUAGAAAUUCUUUCCAGUUCUCCUGAAGACAUGUAAGAUAAAAUAUGCAAGUUAGGAAAACCAGACAGCUUACCUGUGAGCCCUGUGUCCUUCAGCCAACAUCUUAAAAAACUGGGAUAAAUUUAAUUAUUUGUAUAUUAAAGUUGAACAAAACUUUCUUUGAAAUCAGGUUUCUGGUUUAUAUUAAAUAUAUUUUUCUCUGAUUCUGAGAAAGUUUAUCAUCAUUACAGUCCCCUAUAAAUUGAAACAUAGUAUAUUACAAAGAACACAAAAAUCCAGAAUAUUUAUGAGCCCUCUCUUCCCCCUGCAUACAAAGACUUCUCCUCCAGAAGAUGUUAUUAGAACAUCUCAACUUUUAAAAAGUUGGCAAGAAAUCUGGGUCUGCUGAACAGUAUGUUUAAUUAAAGGUAAAUAUAUACACCUAAAUCCACAUUAACAGAAAAUUCUAAAUUCUCCUGGUAAAAUGAUUCAUUAACUACAUACAUAGUAUGACAGGAGAUAAAUGAAUGACUUUUAUUUCAAGGAGUUUAUUCCAUAUUUGCAGAGGACUGUAAUACUGAUUAUGCCCAAAGCAGGCUGUGAAGAGUUAACACCAGAACUGGAUUGUUUAUAGAAGUGAGUCGAGCUGAAGCCUGUGUGCCAAGGUCAGAGCAACUCGCACCCAAAUUCCUUUCCUACAACUAAAACUUUCAGACUAGGACAAUGUUCUAAUUACAACCAUAUAUUUUGUCUAUUCUGUUCCUAAUUCAAGAAUGCUUUCUCUUGUCCUUUAUGAGUCUUGUUUACAUUAAUUUCCACAUAAACCACAUGUCACCUUUACCCCAAUUGAUUGCCAAUAAAAGUCAGUGCCUGGGACUGGCCAACGCCUUUGUGGGUUACACUGGCAUUGGUCAUCCUGGCACCCCACUUUCUCUCUCUUAGUUCAGUCUCUUAGUGUAUUCUUUUUCUCAGGUCUGCAUCGUAUACUGGGCAGGUGGGUACUGGAUCCUGACUACAGAGGUCUCUGGCAAUUGGUGCCCAACUGUUGAGGACUUUUGAGGACUCCCCUUGGUGAACAAAGGAGCAGCUGCCUGGAAAUAUUUUCCAGCCUUUGCUCACUAGGGAGACCUCAACAGUUUCCAUACUCUUACGACAGACUGACCCGAUGGUUUUCAUAGCCUUAAAAAAGACUUACAUCGAUGAAUAUUACUUAAAUAUGUUAUUGUAAUAUGUUUACGUUUGUUGUCAUCAAAGGGUUAAGUUCUAAGUAUGUCAUAGUGAUAUAUGUUUACACUGGUCAUCUUCAAAUGAUUAAACUUUCUGUGAGAAAAACAACAAGCUUUUAUUGAAAAGAUGUUUUGGUACCAAACUAAAUUAAAGGGCAUAAGGUAUCAUACAUAUAAUUGUGAUAAUUAUUAUUAUUGUUAAUUUUCUGAUGUACUAAAUGUAUUCAUGCUUUCUGACUGUACAGGUUUUCUAAUAUAUUGUUUAUGGUAAUAAUCUUUUGAUUCAGGUAUUUGCCUUUUUCUUAUACUACAGCUACUUAUGAUAAGAGGUACAUUUAUAGGCUGAUGUUUUUUCUUUGGGAGACAUCCUAUCAAAGGAUAACAAUUUAGAUGAGAAGAUUUUGUGUUUUGGGGAGAGAAUGAGAAUGUUUAACAAUGGCUAUUUUAUAUUAAGAUGGAUAUUUAAGUGUGUUACAAAGAUAAUGUCAUCAUGAUUGUCAUGCUAAAAUAUCAUGUGUGGCUCUUGAUUUGAAGUUUUCUUUCUUUUAACAUUUUACAGGAAUUCUACUACUAGAACAGCCAUGAUUGAUAAUAAUAACUAUAUUUUAUAUUUCAAAGUGCUUGAUAUCCAGAUAAAAUUAUAAUUAUUAAGUUCACUAUUCCCAUUGCAAUGCUAAUGUUAUUGAUCUUCUCUUCUGGAUGUUCAACAACUAAAGUUUAGAGACCAGAACUAGAAAGGUAACUGGGCUAAGAGGACAGCCUGUAUUUUGGCGCUGGCCCUACAAGGUCUACAAAUAACCCAGGACAUGAGAGAACUUUGGCUACAAGAUCCUACAGCUUUGAAAAUAAAAAGAUACUGUGGCCAUCAUCCUAAAAUGUACCACCAUGGACCAAGAUGGUAGAUUUGCUGCAAGCAUCAGCACGAUGUGACACCCCUGCUGAGAGUCAUGCAAAGGCUACAUUUGAGUGACUCCCCUCACCUGCUACAGCCCUGGAACCUGCAAAGAUCACCAGACCUGAUCCAACUGCUGUUUUCAAACAGAGAAGAGGGAAAUGCAGAGGUCUGUAAUACUGAUUAUGCCCAAACCAGGCUAUGAAGAGUUAACCAACAAUUGGCUUUUUUAUAGACAUGAGUCUGGCCUAAGCCUAUGUGCCAGGCCGAGGUCAGAGUAACUUGCACCCAAAUUCCAUUCCCAUAACUAAAACCUUCAGACUAGAGGGACAUUGUUCUAAUUACAAUCAUAUAUUUUGUCUAUUCUGUUCCUAAUUCAAGAAUGCUUUGUCUUAUCCUUUAUGAGCCUUGUUUACAUUAAUUUCCAUAUAAACCACAUGUCACUUUUACCCAACUGAUUGCCAAUAAAAGUCAGUGCCUGGGACUGGCCAGCAACUUUAUGGGUUACAUUGGUAUUGGUCAUCCUGGCACCCUGCUUUCUCUCUCUUAUUUCUGUCUCUUAGUGUAUUUUUUUCUCAGGCCUGCAUCGUACACUGGGCAGGGUACUGAAACCUGACUACGUGGGUCUCCAGUAAUACUGAGUAUGAAAGGAUCGCACCACCAUCAGUAUGAAAAAGUUCCUCUUAGAAACCCUGUGUAGAAAUUUCAGCUUCAGCUUUCAUUGACACAGAGGUGACAGGUACCAUGGCACCGUGCUUGUGUUUGCUCCCUGUAGGGAUGAAAAGAAAUCAGCCCAAGAACAGGAACAUGGCUUAGGAUUUGCUCAUCUUUGGCUUACUUGACAAUUAGUCUGCUCGUAAUCCAGAUUAGUUCAUUAGCCUAAAAACUUGCAUGCUGUUAUUUUAUCUCUUGAAAUUUUUAUUAAAUAUAUCCUGAUUACAGCUUGGAUCUUUUAUUUAAAAUGUUUUAACCAGUUAUUGAGGGUUUGAUAUCAUUUUGUUUCUCAAAUUACUUAGCUCUGUUAUUCAUACCUAGUGUCUGGGAACUUUCUGAAUUGCUGUUUGUUAUCCUUCUCUUAUAUAUAUUUUAUUGUGGCCAGAAAACAGUCUAUGAUUUGAUUUCUGUUAAAUUAAUUGAGAUUUAUUUUAUGGCUGAAAAUACGGCCUAAUGCGGUGAAUAUUCUGUGUG